rnacentral:rRNA from 1 species
UGGGGAAUAUUGGCACAAUGGGCGCAAGGCCUGAUGCCAGCCAUGCCGCGUGUGUGAAGAAGGCCUUCGGGUUGUAAAGCACUUUCAGCGAGGAGGAAGGUGGUGAGCUUAAUACGCUCAUCAAUUGACGUUACUCGCAGAAGAAGCACCGGCUAACUCCGUGCCAGCAGCCGCGGUAAUACGGAGGGUGCAAGCGUUAAUCGGAAUUACUGGGCGUAAAGCGCACGCAGGCGGUUUUGUUAAGUCAGAUGUGAAAUCCCCGGGCUCAACCUGGGAACUGCAUUUGAAACUGGCAAGCUAGAGUCUCGUAGAGGGGGGCUAGAAUUCCAGGUGUAGCGGUGAAAUGCGUAGAGAUCUGGAGGAAUACCGGUGGCGAAGGC